GCUGCAAAAGGUUUUUGACUAAAUUAUAUUUUAUGUAUCUUUCAGACAAGUGAAGUUUUGAAUACAUCGCCAAACGAGGAAGAUAAUGUUUGCAGCUCUUAAAUAUCAUGCAGUAGACUAUUUAUAUGAGAAUGUGGCAAGACAGAAGUUUUCUAUUGAUCGGUUAUCAUUUCGUGUUCCUCCCUGUUUACAUCAAGAUGAGAAUUACCAUCAUACUGGAGUUUUUGCUGAUGAUAAGUACAGGAGGCCAUGGAAAAGAGUUUCAGUUGUUUCCACACAAAAAAUGAUGGAUAUUUCAGUCCUGGAUCAAUGGAAGCAAAGUUUAUAUGUAGAGGAUUUCCUGGAGAAGUCUGUACCCUUUAUUUACAAUCAAAAUUAAUUUUCUUGAUGCUCAUCUGAAUAAUGCCUGAAUUGUAAAUUAAUAAUUAUAAUAAGAGUAUAGAAAGGUUUUGUUGUUAAUAGUACAGAGUAUCUGUGGCUUAAUUAACAAACAUCUUGCAGUUUACUUUUAUUUACGUGAGACUUUUGGUAAACCUUGCACUGCAUUUACGUGGAGCAUUUUCUGCUUCUUACUUGAACAAAUAGUGAAAUAAUGAGCUUUAAACUAUACCUUCUGCCAUUCAGCUAAGCCCUUGAAAUCUGUUUAUAUCCAUAAAAGGGAAGAGUCAGGAUUUGUGGGGUUUUUUUUUUUAAAGAGUAAGUUAUAGUUCAGAAAACUGGAAUGAGCCUAUUCAGAAAAAGGCUUUUUGUAAAUCUUUAAAAAUAUGUCAGGGGGUGGUGGUGGAGCUCAACUUGCAUUUUAGAGAUAUAUACAAAAAUUAUUCUACUAGUCAAGAAAUAGCAAUAAAAAUGUCUGGCAUAGCA
rnacentral:lncRNA from 1 species